CAUGCCUCACAGCUAUUCUGGGUAUCAGGAAAGAAUCUAGCUAGAAUUAAUCUGAUUGACAUCUUGCUGACAGAAACAUCAAAAGGGCUGGAAAAGAUGUCAUAAUCUUUGGUUAUGUAAAUAUCUGAAUCAAGAUUGCUCUGAGGCAAACUGCAGAGCAGAUGAUAAUAUAGCCUUUCUAUACUACAUCAACAAUCAUUUUGACAGAUGAAUUUGAAUGCUAAUAUUUCAUGAAUACCAUUUUGGGAGGGAGGAUAGAAGAUAUUGUCUGCAGUAUGGAAACUUAUCACCAAAACACGUCUUCAUGUUGAAAUGAUACAAAAAAGCGGAGGCAAGAGACUAAAUUUGGAGUGUGACUUAGCAGUGUGGUGGCACUGGUGAUGGCUGGAUGAUGCUUCUCUGAAAUCUUUACUGUUCUCCUGCUGGUUGGGGCAAUGUUCAUCUGCUGAAGGAUGUCUUGUGUUAAUUCACAUGAAGUCCUCAACGCUACUGGUACUUCUCUUCAUCGUAAUUUUGUAACUGGUAAAAAAAAAUCGGUGAUUUUUCUAUUCACGCUGCAAUAAUCUGAGAAAUGAGCCCUUGAGGGCUCCUUAGAAGGAUUAGCUGUAUUUUACUGGAAAGAAGACAACAAGGAGUGAUCUCUGGUUUCGUGGUUUUUGGGUGGUGGUGGUUUUUUAAUUGUUGCGGUUGGAUUUUUCUUUUCCUGUGGUAGUUGAGACAUGAUUUUGCUUUGAGUUCCCUCUAAUGCUGAUUGUGAGCCACUUUCUAAGAACAGCCUGGAAGGUCUUCCAGCUCCUCUGAUUCUGCCAUUGGGACUUAUUGAAUGAUAAAGCAUUUUAAUAAGCAACUUGCAGCUGUGCAUCUCCACUUAAGCUGUUAAUGCUCAUUCUUGAUAUCCAGGCUACUUACAAAACUUGUUUUUAGCCAGAUGUUCUAGUGAGGUAAGUUCUUUUUAUACUAGAAUCUCAGCAGGAAAGAAAGGACAUUAGGAUUCCCCUAUGCUGUAUUCAGAAUCUACUGGAAUGCAUAAUUAUUGUCAAGAGUACCAUUACUUUUUAUUUUCACAGAUUUCUUUAUGUAGCACUUCAGGUCUCAGAUAUGCUGAGGGGCAAAAGAACUUAAACUAGCACUUUUGCAUUUUAUUUUUGUCAUCUGUUUCUUUCAGUCAUUGGUGCAGGUGACACCACUGGGACCUGCUGAACAGACCAGGAUAAAUGAUGGCUAUUUACAAAUAAGUGAAAGUGAGCACUUACCUGUUUGGGAGAUAAGUCACCUUGAAUGCCAUCUGUUGUUCUCAAAGGGAUGUCUGCUAUUUAUUCCUAUAGCAACUGCAUUUUGUGCCUCUGAGAGCUCUUUAAAAUCAUAUCAAUAAAGCUGCUUUGUUUUGAAUCUAUAAAGCAUCAGAGAGGUCAUUGCCCUGAUAAUACUUUCUGUCUUUUAAUGCUCAUCCAGUCAUCCUUUGAAACAACAAAUGAGGUUGGAUACCUUGCAGGGAAUAUUUUGUGAUAGGAUUGGCAUUUCCCCCCUCCCAGCUUUUAAAUAUAAAUUUUCACUGAUAUAUCAAAAUAGGUCAUGGGAGAUUUGUUAAAAAUACAACUCUUCUCCUCAGUGCACUUUUGUUACAGCCUUUCUGCAUACCUGUGUUUUGCUUGCAGGUCUAAUGUUCGUGCCCUCCAGCAGCAGGAACAUGCAGAGAGAAUGUCAAAUCUCUUGCUGCCAAAUGAUAAUGGAGAUUUUCUUUAGCUCAGGAGAGAGGUCUUUGAGGAUCCAAAUGUUUUCUCUUGAAGUCAAAGCAGGGGCAGAUUUCAGAAAGAGGGGCUGCAUCUGACACCAAAGCUGUGUUAUUUUUAGAUGUCAGUGUACAUCCCACCUCUGUAAUGACGAUUUCCCUGAGGGGCUCUGAACCCAUGCAUCACUCCACUUUUGAACAAAUGUAGUUUUACACAAGCCUGAGUUUUAUGAAAACCUGCCUCUUUCUGCCACUUCCUUUCUGGGAGAAAAAGACAAGACCUCCUGCAAGCCCCCCGCCCUCCCCAUCAUCUGCUUAGCAGGCCAUGACAGUGUGUCAGUGGUGCCAGAUCACUGCUGGAGUAAUGAGCAUGUGAAAAACUUUUCAAAUGUUGUGACUGUCAGACUUGGUGCUCAGAUUUAUUCUGCUGGCAUCUAAUCUGGAAUCAGAACACUGUAUUCCACCAAUACUACUUUAGUGUUGUUAUAAGUUAAUCAGAAGUUUCAGAUAAACAUUGAAUUAGUGUUUUUACAAGACUAUAGUCUACUUACUUGUGUGGGGGUUUAUUUUGUUUUGUUGGUUUACUUUAUGUGAUUUUUCUUGUUUUGAUAGAAGUAUGUAUGGGCUGAACUGUUUUGUUUGCUA